rnacentral:lncRNA from 1 species
AUGACUUCACUUCCAGCUCCCUCUCUGGUUGGCUCCACCUCUCCACCAGCUGCUUUGUCCCUUGAGGAUGACUCCACCCUGAAGCCUGCUUACUCCUUGAUGAGUCCCUGCCUGGAACAGCCCUAUCAGGAGAGUCCCCGACCAUACUGCUCACUUCCUCUUCUGGCUUACUCUGGCUGCAACAGAUUUCCCUGCUGCCCCUGCGUCUGGGAUGCCUUGGAGGUGGGGCAGGAUUUCCAAGCUGGCCAUCUGCACCCGGGGAGAUUGACAGCAGCCGGGAAGGCCAGUGCCUUUACCCUACCCACCCCGGCACCAGGCCCCCGGAGCAAAGCAGGGACAUCUGCUCACCUUAAUUUAGAAACGCUGGCUCUCAUUUCACUAGAGCCCCUCGGCUUAACAUUCUGCCCUGGCCUUUCUCGGUGUCUCCUUUCCCAGGAGAAAGGCAGCCGAGCCUUCCUCCGUGGGCGCAAAGAGGAAGAGGAGGGUGGGCCAGCAGGGCACCCUCCCGUUCAUCCGUCCCAUCCACUUCGGGGCUGUAGGCCACUUUCCUCGGUGGAGCAGGGCUGGGGGAGAGGUGACUCUCGGCUCCUGCUCCCAGCCAGGAAGGUCGCCUGCAAGUGUUCCAGCUUGGACAGGCCCAGGCAGGGAGCGGGACGGGACGGGACAGGACUUGCAGCCUGGGACAGUCAGCCAAGACCACUAAGCUGUGUCCAAGCAGAGGAGACAAAAACCCAGCGUCUCCUUCUAAAGGUUAAAAAAGGUAUUCUGCUUUUCCUGCUCUGGAUUCAAACACAGACCCAAGCAAAAUUGAGGGAAUAUGCUAGGGGGUGUCUUGGAAAGAGCGGGCGGGAGCAUCAGAAUGGCCUUUUUUCAUGCGUUCAAAUCCAGCCUCAGACACUUACCAGCGAUCCUGUUUGCCUCAGUUUCCUCAUCUGUAAAAUGAGCGGGAGAAGGAAAUGGCAAACCACUCCAAUGUCUUUGUCAAAAACAAACAAACAAACAAACAAACAACAACAACAACAAAAAACCUCAAAUGAAGUCACCAAGAGUCAGAUACAACUGAAAAUACACCUCAGGGUGAAAGUCUUCU